UGUUUAUAUAUGAUUUUUGCCAUACUAUAUAGAUAUAGGAAGAUGUGGUGUGAGUGCCAAUGAGACAACUCUCCAUACAAAUAACAAUUUAAAAAGUAAACCAUUAUAGGUUAAAGUACGGCCUUCAACACGGAGCCUUGGCUCACACCGAACAACAAGCUAUAAAGGGCCCCAAAAUUACUAGUGUAAAACCAUUCAAACGGGAAAACCAACGGUCUAAUCUAUAUAAAAAAACGAGAAACGAGAAACACGUAUAUAUUACAUAAACAAACGACAACUACUGUACAUCAGAUUCCUGACUUAGGACAGGUGCAAAUAUU
rnacentral:lncRNA from 1 species